rnacentral:rRNA from 1 species
AGUGAACGCUGGCGGUAGGCCUAACACAUGCAAGUCGAACGGCAGCACAGUAAGAGCUUGCUCUUACGGGUGGCGAGUGGCGGACGGGUGAGGAAUACAUCGGAAUCUACCUUUUCGUGGGGGAUAACGUAGGGAAACUUACGCUAAUACCGCAUACGACCUACGGGUGAAAGCAGGGGAUCUUCGGACCUUGCGCGAUUGAAUGAGCCGAUGUCGGAUUAGCUAGUUGGCGGGGUAAAGGCCCACCAAGGCGACGGUCCGUAGCUGGUCUGAGAGGAUGAUCAGCCACACUGGAACUGAGACACGGUCCAGACUCCUACGGGAGGCAGCAGUGGGGAAUAUUGGACAAUGGGCGCAAGCCUGAUCCAGCCAUACCGCGUGGGUGAAGAAGGCCUUCGGGUUGUAAAGCCCUUUUGUUGGGAAAGAAAAGCAGCAGGUUAAUAUCCCGCUGUUCUGACGGUACCCAAAGAAUAAGCACCGGCUAACUUCGUG